AAUAGGGUAUCAUAGAGGGUGAGAAUCCCGUCUUUGACUCAGUGCAUGCUACUAUGUGAUACGUUUUCAAAGAGUCGAGUUGUUUGGGAAUGCAGCUCAAAAUGGGUGGUAAAUUUCAUCUAAAGCUAAAUAUUGGCGAGAGACCGAUAGCGAACAAGUACCGUGAGGGAAAGAUGAAAAGAACUUUGAAAAGAGAGUUAAACAGUGCGUGAAAUUGUUGAAAGGGAAACGUUUGACACCAGUUAUGCGGGUGGAAAAUCAGUCUUUUGCAAUGGGGAGUUGUGGGCGUUCAGACCGCAAGGCUGGCGUUUGCUUCAUCUUUGUUGUAAGUGAUGCACUUUUUCAUUUGCAGGUCAACAUCAGUUUGCUUUGCUGGACAAAACCCCAAGGGAAGGUGGCAGCUUAGGCUGUGUUAUAGCCCUGGGGCGAUACAGUGGAGUGGACUGAGGUUUCGCAGUGUGUGCUCUCGGGCAAGGCUGACUGGGUGCUAUGGGAUCGUUCGGCGUACAAUGCAUGCAUUUUGCGUCGUGUCUUUUUCAUACUCGCUCAACUCGGCUCUUCCACACUUAGGAUGUUGACUUAAUGGUUUUAAACGACCCGUCUUGAAACACGGACCAAGGAGUCUAACAUAUAUGCAAGUGUUUGGGUGGCAAACCCAUGCGCGUAAUGAAAGUGAACGUAGGUGCGAUCCGCAAGGUGCAGCAUCGACCGAUCUUGAUAUUUUUGGAUAGAUUUGAGUAAGAGCAUAUAUGCUGGGACCCGAAAGAUGGUGAACUAUGCCUGAAUAGGGUGAAGCCAGAGGAAACUCUGGUGGAGGCUCGUAGCGAUUCUGACGUGCAAAUCGAUCGUCAAAUUUGGGUAUAGGGGCGAAAGACUAAUCGAACCAUCUGAUGGUGGCCC
rnacentral:rRNA from 1 species